AUAGAAGAAUUCACUAAUCCAAGGUAAACGUGAGCAAUUAGGUUUGGCAUCUUCGGUAGCUGUUAGGAGAUCCAAAUGUUUCAGUGAGAACGAUCUCAAUAGCUUCCAGCAUCUGCCAUGGCGGAGUACUUUGCAAAUGGGAUUGGGUAGUGGCACUUCAGUUUUACAGAGGGCACUGGUACCAGGCUAUGGUGAAGGAUCGACCCCGUAUAACAUCUUUCUUCUUUCAAGUGUAUUUUACAGGAUCUCAUCUAUGCUACUUGCCAGGAUGGUGAGGAAUAGUGACCAUCGGUCCUAUUUGAGAGAGCAGGUAUUAACACAAAUGUCAGGAAAUGAUUGUCUUAAGUUGUGUUGGGAGAAUAUGCAGGGAGGAAAUUGAGGAUUUAUGGUUCCUACGUCAGAUACGGCAAUGUCCUUUGAUUAUGAGAGCUCCUGGAAGGAAUCAAAUUCUUGUCCGUGCAUUUGGGGAAUAAGAUUUAAGAAUCAGGGCUCCCGGCUGACUAUUUAUUAUGCUUUCUUCCCCUUCAGCUCUCUGAAACAGCCUUCUGGGUCUCCAUCCGGCCACCAUCCUCACCACUCAUAGCCCUCACCAUUUCAGAAGGAAGUGAAGGAGUUAAUGGGGCAGUAACAUCCAAGGAAGUGCAAUCUUGACUCAAUGUUGAUCUCUUACCAGUCAUCCAAGGGGCUUCCAGUAUGAUGUGGGACAGGAGUGGUGAGAGGACAUUCUUACUGUGUUCCUGAUCUUAAUGGGAACACUUCUAGUUUCUCACAAAAACAACUAUGAAACCUGGAUUAAACAAAUGGAGCAGCUAUUUUAGAACUUCAAAGAGCCAAUAGCACGCGGUAAUGUGGAGAACAGCACCAGAAUUCAAAGUACC